rnacentral:lncRNA from 1 species
GGCAGACCUGGUCAGUGUUUGAUCCUCAGGGGCAGCGUUUCAUUGAUUUUUUUUUGGAUUGAAUUCCGAGAUCCACGCUAUUAGGUUUUCCUUUUUCUGAAAUAAUCUGAUAAAACCGAUUGAAAAGAUGUUUACUAUAUAUGUGAACCCUUGCCUCUACUUCCAGUGCCUUAAAAAUGGUUGUUUCCUGUGGGAAAAUGGUGCUACUGCAUACGAAAAACUAUUUUUUGUUCCGUGAUGGGCAUGAGUUGGUUAGUGCCAAGUGGUUUCUGUUGUCUGAAAAC